GCCCUUCCACCAUGUGAGUAUACAGAGAGAAGGUAUGAUCCAUGGAUCAGGAAACCAGCCUUCCCUAGACAUGGAAUCUGCUGGCACCUUGAUUUUGAACUUCCCAGACUCCAGAACUACUCCUGCCCCUGCCACGAGAACACACCCUUUCCAGUUUGCUGGAGAAAUAUAAGAGAAGUCCAGUGAAAGAGAGCUGAGUUUCCCCAAUGAUGCCAUCAAGAUGAACUAACUACAGUUAACCAGCCAGCUGAUAGCAGAUGCAUGAGUGAGCCCAGCUGAGAGCAGGUUGUGCAAGCAUGGCACGUGCAUCUGUUUGGCUUGUGGUGAGGCCUCAGGAAGCUUACAGUCAUGGUGGAAGGCAAAGAGGGAGCCAGUACAUCACGUGAACUCGUAGAGUGAGAACUCAUUCACUACCAUGAAGACAACACCAAGCCAUUCCUGAGGUGAAACUGAAAUUGGCUGUAUCAUCUGAAACUUCAUCUGUGAAGUCCCUGGUGGUUUCCUAGAUGACUACACAGUUGAGUUGCCUCUGAUUGGAAAAGCAGUGUUUUGGUUUUUCAGUUUGUACAAGAGGAAGAAGACGCAUGAUAUGUGUUUGGCUCAUGUGCCUGAAUAUGGCUCCACAGGGAAGACUUGAUACAGCUGAAGCUAUUGCUUUUUAGAGACUUUUUAUUUUGAGCAGCUGCCUUAACAGCCUUCGUCUUGUUACAUCACAUGAGAUAUAUCUCUGGAAUAGGAAGAGAAAAAAGACAUGACUGAGCAAUAAUUUUUGACUAAAACUUAAAAUUACAAAACCAAAACCAGAGAUAGAUGUCCCUGAAGUUGUAUUUUUAUAGUAUGUGAGAACACAAUUUUCUUAUCCUAGUUUUAAGGCAUUCCUCUGGACCCAGGAUUUUUGUUUAGUUUCAUUCACAUAAUCAAACUCUUUUUUUUUUUUUUGCCAUAGACUAAUGCAUUUUGGUGUAAUGAUCUGAGCCCUUAUCCAGAAGGCAUCUAAGACUCAUGUACAAAAAUAGAUUUCAGGGCUAAACAUUCUAAAAGACAAUUGAGUGCUUCUUUUUUCUCCGGCCCCUAGAUGUAAAUGAAUAACCUCUGUUCACUAACUCUUAAUGUAAUAUAAGGGAUAAAUUAUGCUUGUUUAUUUAAUUGUGCUUAACCAGAGUACUAGGUUGGAGUCAAACCACAGAUAUAUUUGUGAGAUGUGACAAAAUGUAGCUUUUAGCCCGUAAUACCCAAGUCAUCUGGGAACAUAACUGAUGACAGUGUCAACACCUUUCAGGAAUUCUGGAGGUGCCUUUGAGUUUAGAAAUUCGUAGGUUCUCUAGAAGCAACAGUAGCAUACUAAAUUAACACAUAACAUUUCAAGCUACAUUUACAUAAUUGCAGUGGUUAUGAUUAAUACAAAUUAUAUUAACUGCCUGUUUUACUCCUUAUAGCUGAUUGGCUGAAUUUACCAGUGGGUUUGGUAUGUUCAACAAAUGAUCCAAAUUACCUUUUCAUUUCAGUUAAGAAACUAAUCAAAGCAAAUACACUUUGAUUUGUUGAGAGGCAGAGAUUCUCCCUAAGUGGCAAUGUCCUUGGCCUUCUAAGCUAAAACCUAAAUGGAACUAUAAUAUAUAUUUUGAUGCUUUAUCUCACUUGAGUUUUUUAUUCUUUAACUGAAGGGCAGCCAUGGACCAUAAAUACAUAGAAGAUAAAAAUAUAUUGAGCUUAGGAGUUUGGUCUGUUCAAUGGAUGAGAACUUUAUAUUUUCCCUUAUAAACACAAUUUUCAAAGAAUAGCCUGUAAUAGUCGUGAAAAUGGAAACCAAUACUGGGGAAAUGUGGACUGCAACUCUGAAAAGGUAUCAAAAUGCCCGAUAGUUCAACACAAGGGCUAAGCAAUAUUUCAGGGAUGUGGCCUGUCUUUGGUGGCUCGGUCACUCUAGUGAGAUGAAUUUGGAAAAGGAUAGGCAUACAGAAUCCCCCCUCUGGCAGGGUUUGCCUUUGGGGUCUGCUUAAAGCCAUGUUUGCUAGUAGAAAUCUUGAGUAACCAGAUAUGUUUUAUAAUGCUGUGUCAUAUUUAAAUUCUGAUGAGAUUGACAUCUUUAAAUAAGCUUGGACACAGAUUGGAUUUGUACAGGGAACUGGACUGAAGAAUAAUCGUAGGUCAGUAAUAGAUUUAGAUAUACUAUUUUUAUAUUGUAAGCAGUUACUUCUCAGGAUUAGUAUUCUAAUUCAUUUGAUUUAAUAUGUAAUAGGUAAUAUUAAAAAUAAAGAUUUUAUGCUUUGAAACUCCUUAACUGAAUAUUUUCAUAGGAAUAAGCAUAGUUUUUGUGUUUAGUAAUUUUAGUUAGUGAGUAAUGAUUAGCAGACAACAUGGUAAUUAUAUUGAAAUAUUACGUGAGUGCCAAUAACAAAGCUUUCUGAUCAAAUGCUAAGAAAUAUGUUGUGUAAAGGGAUCUCACAUUUUUUAUUGCGGCUUUCUUUCUACAAUGUGACAAAUUUCUGGGAUAUUUCAUUAUCUUCUUUUUGAAUUUUUUUCAAGCAAGACUGUUCAGUAUUAUGUUAGCAUUGAUAUAAAAAGAAGCAGACCAUUGUUAACAUUAAAAUGUUACUGAGAUUUCAAAGGUAGAGGACAUUAUCCUUUCUUAUUUUUCUUUAUGAUACAGUAUUUGUAACAUAGUGCUUCUGAAAUAGAAAGCACUUUUUG
rnacentral:lncRNA from 1 species